GUGCCUUAAACUAAUGAGUAAGGAAAACAAAGCGCACGGUGGGAGCCGCUUGCAGCGCCCAUGAUAACGUGUGCAAUAAUUUAUGGAGGGGUGAUAGGCUGGCCAAGCGCUUUCUUACUUUGUAGAACUUGCUUGUGAAGGCCUCCC